rnacentral:rRNA from 1 species
UCUCAGUUCGGAUUGCAGGCUGCAACUCGCCUGCAUGAAGCUGGAAUUGCUAGUAAUCGCGGAUCAGCAAGCCGCGGUGAAUACGUUCCCGGGCCUUGUACACACCGCCCGUCACACCAUGAGAGUCGGGAACACCCGAAGUCCGUAGUCUAACCGCAAGGGGGCGCGGCCGAAGGUGGGUCCGGUAAUUGGGGUGAAGUCGUAACAAGGUACC